UACGGAGGGUGCAAGCGUUAUCCGGAUUCACUGGGUUUAAAGGGCGCGUAGGUGGCUCUGUAUGUCUACCGUGAAAGCAUACAGCUCAACUGUAUUUUGUCGGUAGAAACUGCAGGACUUGAGGCUGGGAGGGCUGGUGGAAUUCCCUGUGUAGCGGUGAAAUGCGUAGAGAUGGGGGAGAACACUCGUGGCGAAGGCGGCCAGCUAGACCAGUUCUGACACUGAGGCGCGACAGCGUGGGGAGCAAACAGG
rnacentral:rRNA from 1 species